rnacentral:tRNA from 12 species
AGGUGAACUUUGGUGGUCCAGAGGCAGGACUUCAAAUCCUGUGGGGUUGAAAGGCCCAGAGGUUCGAUCCCUCCUC